GUAUCACUAAUUUUACAUUAUGGAUAUUUUGGGAAUUGUCGAAUGGUGCUCGGACCGAGCACAUCACGUUUGUUGAAGAUAAGUUCAAUCUUUAUAUAGCAGAUUCAGGUGAUUGAUAGUGCCAAGAAAGGUUCUGUUCUUUAUGGAUUCCAGGAUAAGCCAGAAUUGAGCUUGGAAACAAAUUGGAAUGUUUCCAAAUAUCUUGUGAUUGGAUCGUAUCGCCAACAGGGUUUCUUUUUGUGGUUGAACAAGGGCUCUAAGAUCCAUGUGAGAUGGGAAGUUCUAAUUAGCAAUUUCAGUGACCUCCUAGUGGUGUUAACCGAAGUAGAGCAGAAGUUAAAGAGAUCAUUGCUGAGUUCCUCAAAUUUACUUGCUCUUACCAAUCCAACACAUGGUAAUAGAACC